AUUUUAUGUAAAAGCAUUUUUUAAAGUAGGCCAAGCUGUGUGUUUUAUAACUUAGAGGUGUUUUUUGUCUUGUAAUUUUUAGGAGGCUGUACGGCGUCUCUGAGGCACACUGCAGGCACUAAGAACCAGAGCAAGGACUAACGUCACCUCAUAACGAAGCCGUGACCUCCUAUUUGCUUGGGGCUAUUUCAGCAAGUCCAGAUUUAACUGCUGAGAAUGACGACAUUGUUUCUGAUUGUAAGACCUAUUAUGCAGUGGCGAACCGUGGGUACUUCAGCUGGGCCUUCAAAAUAUGCAAUGAAGUGCAAAUGCCUCUCCAUCCAUAAUACUAGGCUAUUCGUAUUUCG